CAGCCGCCGCGGUAAUACGUAGGGUGCGAGCGUUGUCCGGAAUUACUGGGUGUAAAGGGUGCGUAGGCGGGCAUGUGCGUCGGAGGUUAAAUACAACGGCUUAACCGUUGAACUGCCUUCGAAACGGCAUGUCUUGAAUGUGGGAGAGGAUGAUGGAAUUCCUGGUGUAGCGGUGAAAUGCGUAGAUAUCAGGAGGAACACCGGUGGCGAAGGCGGUCAUCUGGCCCACUAUUGACGCUGAGGCACGAAAGCGUGGGGAGCAAACAGGAUUAGAUACCCUGGUAGUCCACGCCCUAAACGAUGUAUGCUUGGUGUUGGUUGCGAAAGCAAUCAGUGCCGGAGGUAACCCGUUAAGCAUACCACCUGGGGAGUACGAUCGCAAGGUUGAAACUUAAAGGAAUUGGCGGG
rnacentral:rRNA from 1 species